GACGAACGCUGGCGGCGCGCUUAACACAUGCAAGUCGAGCGAGAACCGGGACUUCGGUCCCGGGGACAGCGGCGAACGGGUGAGUAACACGUGGGUAAUCUGCCCUCGAUUCUGGGAUAGCCCGGGGAAACCCGGAUUAAUACCGGAUAGCCUUUCGAGCCUUCGGGCGCGAAAGAAAAGGUAGCUUCGGCCUCCGAUCGAGGAUGAGCCCGCGGUGGAUUAGCUUGUUGGCGGGGUAAUGGCCCACCAAGGCGACGAUCCAUAGCUGGUCUGAGAGGACGAUCAGCCACACUGGGACUGAGACACGGCCCAGACUCCUACGGGAGGGCAGCAGUGGGGAAUCUUGCGCAAUGGGCGAAAGCCUGACGCAGCGACGCCGCGUGGGGAAGAAGGC
rnacentral:rRNA from 1 species